CCUUCGACAUAGAAAGCCUUAGCUCUGACCAGGUCGCGGCCUACGUCAUCACUGGUCAGAGGCCAAGGUUAUGCGUCACUGAUUGAUGCGUGUGUACGUAACCACUCAGUCCACUGUGUUGCUGUGUAGUUUACAUAGACAGAAAGAUUUCUUUUGAAACAAAUAGAAUCUUCAUCUAAAUAUGAUUUAGACUUUUCAAAUUAUUCAUCAUGGAUUAAAACUCUAGAUCUACAAUGGUGAACAAAUGUCUCGUUUUGUAAAGGAUCUAGAUCUAGCACUACUAGAUCUAGUAACUAGCAGAUAUGCUUUCCGAUUACCAAAAGAUGAUGAAUGGUGGCUUAGAAAGAAAAAAUGGCCAGCGGUAAUACCUUUGGCUUAGUAGAAGGAUUAGAUCUACGUACCAUUAAAGGAGUACUCUAAAAUCUGCCAUUAACAUUUUCAAGACGAAGUAUCAUGGACAGUAUUGAAGGAACACGUACUAUAAAGGAAUACUCUAAAAUCUGCCGUUAACAUUUUGAAGACGAUGAAGUAUUGUGGACUAGCUACUACACAUGAAAGAGUAGAGAGUGCAUUAAAAAAAAGUGUUAAGUCUCAGGAAGUCGCAGGAUGGCUGCCUGGUCUUGUGGUUUGCGCGCUGGACUGUCGUUUGGAUUUAUCAAUGUCUCUGGUUCAAACCCUGCCCGCUCCCAUCCCCUGUCGUCAACUCUGAAGGAACAUCCGAAACAUGUCAAACAUAUAAGGAUAUAAUAGUAAAAAAAACAUAUCAGUGAUUUCAGUGAAUUUCAAGAUAGUGUAAGAAAUAUAAAUGUGUCUUCGUUUUGGAUGAUCUUUGUCAAGAGGAGUGUAUGAUUUAUGUACAUUGUAAAGGUUCUGGUCCUGUUAAGGUAGUAUAUAUAUAUUCUAUUGUUCUUGGUACAUCUCUU